GACGAACGCUGGCGGCGUGCUUAACACAUGCAAGUCGAACGAUGAAGCUGGAGCUUGCUCCGGUGGAUUAGUGGCGAACGGGUGAGUAACACGUGAGCAAUCUGCCCUUGACUCUGGGAUAACUGCGGGAAACUGUAGCUAAUACCGGAUACUUUCACUGGAAGGCAUCUUCUGGUGAAGAAAGAAUUUCGGUCAAGGAUGAGCUCGCGGCCUAUCAGCUUGUUGGUGAGGUAACGGCUCACCAAGGCGACGACGGGUAGCCGGCCUGAGAGGGUGACCGGCCACACUGGGACUGAGACACGGCCCAGACUCCUACGGGAGGCAGCAGUGGGGAAUAUUGCACAAUGGGCGCAAGCCUGAUGCAGCAACGCCGCGUGAGGGAUGAAGGCCUUCGGGUUGUAAACCUCUUUUAGCAGGGAAGAAGCGAAAGUGACGGUACCUGCAGAAAAAGCACCGGCUAACUACGUGCCAGCAGCCGCGGUAACAC
rnacentral:rRNA from 1 species